rnacentral:rRNA from 1 species
UACGGGGGGGGGCAAGCGUUGUUCGGAAUUACUGGGCGUAAAGGGCUCGUAGGCGGCCAUCUAAGUCGGACGUGAAAUCCCUCGGCUUAACCGGGGAACUGCGUCCGAUACUGGAGGGCUUGAGUGUGGGAGAGGGAUGCGGAAUUCCAGGUGUAGCGGUGAAAUGCGUAGAUAUCUGGAGGAACACCGGAUGGCGAAGG